GGAAAAGAAACCAACAGGGGAUUGCCCCAGUAACGGGGAGUGAAGCGGCAACAGCUCAAAUUUGAAAUCUGGCUCCUUUGGGGUCCGAGUUGUAAUUUGCAGAGGGAGCUUUUGGCGUCGGUCGUGGUCUAAGUUCCUUGGAACAGGACGUCACAGAGGGUGAGAAUCCCGUACGUGGCCGCCGGCCUUCGCCUUGUAAAGCCCCUUCGACGAGUCGAGUUGUUUGGGAAUGCAGCUCUAAAUGGGAGGUAAAUUUCUUCUAAAGCUAAAUACCCGCCAGAGACCGAUAGCGCACAAGUAGAGUGAUCGAAAGAUGAAAAGCACUUUGGAAAGAGAGUGAAAAAGCACGUGAAAUUGUUGAAAGGGAAGCGCUUGCAGCCAGACGUGCCCGCGGUUGAUCAUCCAGGCUCCAGCCUGGUGCACUCCUCCGCGGGCAGGCCAGCAUCAGUUCGGGCGGUCGGAUAAAGGCCUCUAUCACGUACCACCCCUCGGGGUGGCCUUAUAGGGGAGGCGCAACACGGCCAGCCCGGACUGAGGUUCCGCGCAUCUGCUAGGAUGCUGGCGUAAUGGCGGCAAGCGGCCCGUCUUGAAACACGGACCAAGGAGUCUAACAUCUAUGCGAGUGUUUGGGUGUCAAGCCCGAGCGCGUAAUGAAAGUGAACGGAGGUGGGAACCCUCACGGGUGCACCAUCGACCGAUCCUGAUGUCUUCGGAUGGAUUUGAGUAAGAGCAUAGCUGUUGGGACCCGAAAGAUGGUGAACUAUGCCUGAAUAGGGUGAAGCCAGAGGAAACUCUGGUGGAGGCUCGCAGCGGUUCUGACGUGCAAAUCGAUCGUCAAAUUUGGGCAUAGGGGCGAAAGACUAAUCG
rnacentral:rRNA from 1 species